AUUCAUUUAAAGAGUGCGUAACAGCUCACUGGUCGAGAGGUCCUGCACGGAAAAUAAUCGGGCAUCAAACUAUGAACCGAAGUUCUAAACUCUAACUUGUUAGAGUGGUAGGGGAGCAUUGAAAUCUGCAUAGAAGGUGUAUGGCGACAUAUGCUGGAGCGAUUUCAAAAGAAAAUGUAGGUAUAAGUAACGAUAAAAGGAGUGAAAAACUCCUUCGCCGAAAGUCUAAGGUUUCCUGAUCAACGUUAAUCGGAUCAGGGUUAGUCUGGUCCUUAGGAGAACCCGAAAGGGGCAUCUGAUGGAAAGAAGGUUAAUAUUCCUUCACCUACUAUACAUUAAAAGUGACGGAGAAUGCUAGCUACAUAGGCAGACGGAUGCUGAGUGAAUCCUUCGGGUGAAGCGUAGUAGUGAAAGUUCUUCCAAGAAAAGCGAGUAUAGCAGCCAGUACCGCAAACCGACACAGGUAGACGGGAUGAGUAUUCUAAGGCGCUCGGGUGAGCCGUGGAGAAGGAACUAGGCAAAUUAACGCUGUAACUUCGGGAUAAAGCGUACCAUAGAGAUAUGGUCACAGUAAAAUGAUUCAACCAACUGUUUAACAAAAACACAGGGCCCUGCAAAAUCGAAAGAUGACGUAUAGGGCCUGACACCUGCCCGGUGCUGGAAGGUUAAGGAAGGAUGUUCGGCGCAAGCCAAAGCUUCUGACUGAAGCCCCAGUAAACGGCGGCCGUAACUAUAACGGUCCUAAGGUAGCGAAAUUCCUUGUCGGGUAAGUUCCGACCUGCACGAAUGGUGUAACGAUCUGAGAACUGUCUCAGCCGUGAGCUCGGUGAAAUUGUAGUCCCGGUGAAGAUGCCGGGUACCCGUAACGGGACGGAAAGACCCCGUGAACCUUCACUACAACUUUGCAUUGACUUUGAGUAAACGAUGUGUAGCAUAGGUGGGAGACUUUGAAGCGGGCACGCUAGUGUUCGUGGAGUCAACGUUGAAAUACCACCCUUUGUUUACUUAGAGCCUAACUCCUAAUGGGAGAACAUUGCAUGGUGGGUAGUUUGACUGGGGUGGUCGCCUCCAAAAGAGUAACGGAGGCUUUCAAAGGUACCCUCAGCACGCUUGGUAACCGUGCGUAGAGCGCAAUAGUAUAAGGGUGCUUGACUGUAAGACCGACGGGUCAAGCAGGUAGGAAACUAGGAUAUAGUGAUCCGGUGGUUCCGCAUGGAAGGGCCAUCGCUCAUAGGAUAAA
rnacentral:rRNA from 1 species